rnacentral:rRNA from 1 species
UACGUAGGGUGCAAGCGUUGUCCGGAAUUAUUGGGCGUAAAGAGCUCGUAGGCGGUUCGUCGCGUCGGCUGUGAAAACCUGAGGCUCAACCUCAGGCCUGCAGUCGAUACGGGCAGGCUAGAGUUCGGUAGGGGAGAUCGGAAUUCCUGGUGUAGCGGUGAAAUGCGCAGAUAUCAGGAGGAACACCGGUGGCGAAGGCGGAUCUCUGGGCAGUAACUGACGCUGAGGAGCGAAAGCGUGGGGAGCGAACAGG